GAUGAACGCUGGCGGCGUGCCUAACACAUGCAAGUCGAACGGAGUUACUUUGGUGAAGUUUUCGGAUGGAUCCGAUUUAACUUAGUGGCGGACGGGUGAGUAAUGCGUGAGCAACCUGCCCUUCAGAGGGGGACAACAGUUGGAAACGACUGCUAAUACCGCAUAACGUAUUCGGAAGGCAUCUUCUGAAUACCAAAGGAGAAAUCCGCUGAGGGAUGGGCUCACGUCUGAUUAGUUAGUUGGUGAGGUAACGGCUCACCAAGACUGCGAUCAGUAGCCGGACUGAGAGGUUGAACGGCCACAUUGGGACUGAGAUACGGCCCAGACUCCUACGGGAGGCAGCAGUGGGGAAUAUUGGGCAAUGGGCGAAAGCCUGACCCAGCAACGCCGCGUGAAGGAAGAAGGCCUUCGGGUUGUAAACUUCUUUUAAGAGGGACGAAGAAGUGACGGUACCUCUUGAAUAAGCCACGGCUAACUACGUGCCAGCAGCCGCGGUAAUACGUAGGUGGCGAGCGUUAUCCGGAUUUACUGGGUGUAAAGGGCGCGUAGGCGGGAAUGCAAGUCAGAUGUGAAAUCCAGGGGCUUAACCCUUGAACUGCAUUUGAAACUGUAUUUCUUGAGUGUCGGAGAGGUUGACGGAAUUCCUAGUGUAGCGGUGAAAUGCGUAGAUAUUAGGAGGAACACCAGUGGCGAAGGUGGUCAACUGGACGAUAACUGACGCUGAGGCGCGAAAGCGUGGGGAGCAAACAGGA
rnacentral:rRNA from 1 species